UGGGGAAUAUUGCACAAUGGGGGAAACCCUGAUGCAGCAUCGCCGCGUGCGGGAUGACGGCCUUCGGGUUGUAAACCGCUUUCAGCCAUGACGAAGCUUUUGUGACGGUAGUGGCAGAAGAAGCACCGGCUAACUACGUGCCAGCAGCCGCGGUGAUACGUAGGGUGCGAGCGUUGUCCGGAAUUAUUGGGCGUAAAGAGCUUGUAGGCGGUUUGUCGCGUCGAAAGUGUAAACUCAGUGCUUAACGCUGAGCCUGCUUUCGAUACGGGCGGACUAGAGGAAGGUAGGGGAGAAUGGAAUUCCCGGUGGAGCGGUGGAAUGCGCAGAUAUCGGGAGGAACACCAGUGGCGAAGGCGGUUCUCUGGACCUUUCCUGACGCUGAGAAGCGAAAGCGUGGGUAGCAAACAGG
rnacentral:rRNA from 1 species